rnacentral:rRNA from 1 species
GACGUAGGGCGCGAGCGUUGUCCGGAUUUAUUGGGCGUAAAGAGCUCGUAGGCGGCUUGUCGCGUCGACUGUGAAAACCCGUGGCUCAACCAUGUGGUCUGCAGUCGAUACGGGCAGGCUAGAAUUCGGUAGGGGAGACUGGAAUUCCUGGUGUAGCGGUGAAAUGCGCAGAUAUCAGGAGGAACACCGGUGGCGAAGGCGGGUCUCUGGGCCGAUAUUGACGCUGAGGAGCGAAAGCAUGGGGAGCGAACGGG